ACGAAUUAAGUCUUAAUGUAAUUUUAGUGCACGCAUGUUGUCACUGAAGAUGCUAAUGCACUCAGCCCCAGCCAUCUGAAAACCAUCCAGAAGUAUGAACUGCCUAUGGUAAAUGUUGAUUUCAUAUGGGAUUCCAUCAAAGAAAGAAAACUUCUGCAGUGUGAGAACUAUGAGCUAUCUCAAAGUCGGCCCUGUAAAACAGGUACGGCGAUGACUUUAAUGAGUGGCAAUGAUGACAGCCCUAAGGAAAAAGAUGUUUCUGAGGAGAAUCACAAGCAUAAAUUGGAUGUCAGCAGAAACUUACAAGAACUAAGAUGGUAUUCAGAUAAGGAUGAAUAUGCUCCAUGUUUUCCUAAAGAGUUUGAACUUGC
rnacentral:lncRNA from 1 species